CCCCUGGAGGGUUGUACUGUCACACCCUGAUCUGUUUCACCUGUCUUUGUGAUUGCCUUCACCUCCUCCAGGUGUCGCCAAUCUUCCCCAUUAUCCCCUGUGUAUUUAUACCUGUGUUCUCUGUUUGUCUGUUGCCAGUUCGUCUUGUUUGUCAAUGUCAACCCCUCCCUACUUUCAGACUAUGCUCAAACCCUACACCCCAACCCGACCGAGUACACCGUUCUGCCACCUCAGGUCUCUUGGCGCUCCUACCCCUAUGGGAGUGCAGUUCCCGCUCAGCCCAGUCAAAGCUCUUCUCUGUUAUGGCACCCCAAUGGUGGAACCAGCUUCCCUCUGAUAAUAGGACAGCAGAAUCCCUGCCCAUCUUUACUAAACAUCUGAAACCCUACCUUUUCAAAUAGAAUCUUACAUUUUCCUCCUCCUCUCCUCGUGAUGUGGAUGCCAAGGAACGUAAAACUCGUCACUCUCUCAACUGUAAUCCCGUUGAUGUGGAUCUGGGAAUGUUCCCUCCUCUACUUCCUGAAGUGAACAAUCAACUCCUUUGUUUUUCUGAUGUUGUGGGAGAGGUUGUUGUUAUUACACCACAAUGCCAGUUUGCUUAAAUCCUCCUUAUAGGCUGAUUCAUCAUUGUUGGUUAUCAGGCCAACAACCGGGGUGUCGUCAGCAAAGUUGAUGAUGGAGUUGGUGUCCUGCAAAGCCAUACAGUCAUUAGUGAACUGGGAGUACAGCAGAUGGCUGAGGACACACCUCUGGGGGGGCCUGUGUUAGAAGAGCUCAGUGUGGAAGAGGUGUUGUUGCCAAUCCUCACAGCCUGAGGCUGGUCAUCAGGAAGUCCAAGAUUCAGUUGCAGAGGGUGGUGUCCAAACCCAGGGCUCUAAGCUUGGUGUAGAGCUUGGAGGAAACAAUAGUGUUGACUGCAGAAUUGUUGUCAAUAAACAGCAUUCUAACAUAGGUGUUUCUCUUGUCUGUGUUCCAACCAUGUGAAUAGCGAUGGAAAUGGAAUCUUCCGUGGAUCUCCUGGAGUGGUAGGCAAAUUAGAGUUGGGGGGCGGGUGCGUACCUGUGUGUCAGCCAGAUUAGUCUGCCAGCCACCUGUGUGUCUGGUGUUUUGUUAAACUCUAUUUUAUUGGAGGUAGUGUAAAAUGGUGCCAGAAGAAAUGUCAGCAGUUGUACGGGCGCCCAACCAAUUGUGCUAUUAUGUGUUUUUUUCACAUUAUUUGUAACUUAUUUUGAACAUAAUGUUGCUGCCACCAUAUCUUAUGGCAAAACAAUAGCUUCUGGAUAUCAGGACAGCGAUCACUCACCUCGGAAUAGACAAAGAUUUUUUUCUUCAACAAGCAGGACCCAUAGGACAUACUCCGAUCACCCUACAAGGCCAACAUCCCAGUUAUUGGCAAGUGGAAGAGACGCAGGUACAAAGGCCACCGAGUGGGGUGCCUCGUAAAGAUCCGCAGAAGGUGAGUGGGAAAGCUGCCGUUACCGCUAAUUUUACUCGCAAACAUGCAAACAUUGGACAAUAAAUUAGACGAGGUACGAUCACGAAUAUCCCACCAACGGACAUCAAAAACUGUAACAUCUUAUGUUUCACAGAAUCGUGGCUAAAUGAUGACAUGGAUAUUCAGCUAGCAGGAUAUACGCUGCACUGGCUAGAUAGAACAGCACACUCCGGUAAGACAAGGGGGGGAGGGUCUGUGCAUAUUUGUAAACAACAGCUGGUGCACGAAAUCUAAGUAAGUCUCAAGAUUUUGCUCACCUGAAGUAGAGUAUCUUAUGAUAAAUUGACCACACUAUUUGCCAAGAGAGUUUUCAGAGAGUUUUCAUCUAUACUUUAUUUACCACCACAGGCGGAUGCUGGCACUAAGAGCGCACUCUGUCAGCUGUAUAAGGAAAUAAGCAAAUAGGAAACCUCUCACCCAGAGGCGGCGCUCAUAGUGGCCGGAGACUUUAAUGCAGGGAAAUUGAAAUCAGUUAUACCUAAUUUCUAUCAACAUGUUAAAUGUGCAACCAGAGGAGAAAAUAAUUCUAGAUUAUUCCGCGUACACACGUACAAAGCCCUCCCUUGCCCUCCAUUUGGUAAAUCUGACCACAAUUCUAUCCUCCUGAUUCCUGCUUACAAGCGAAAAUGAAAGCAGGAAGCACCAGUUACUCAGUCUAUAAAAAAGUGGUCAGAUGAGGCAGAUGCUAAACUACAGGACUGUGUUGCUGUAGUACACCACAUCAGUCACUGGCUUUAUCAAUAAGUGCAUCGAGGACGUCGUCCCCACAGUGACUGUACGUACAUACCCCAACAGGAAGCCAUGGAUUACAGGCAACAUUGACACUGAGCUAAAUGGUAGAGCUGCAGCUUUCAAGGUGUGGGACUCUAACCCGGAAGCUUAUAACAAAUCCUGCUAGGUGGGGCGGCAGGGUAGCCUAGUGGUUAGAGCAUUGGGCUAGUAACCGGAAGGUUGCAACUUCAAAUCCCCGAGCUGACAAGGUACAAUUAUGUCGUUCUGCCCCUGAACAGGCAGUUAACCCACUGUUCCUAGGCCGUCAUUGAAAAUAAGAAUUUGUUCUUAACUGACUUGCCUAGUUAAAUAAAGGUAAAAUACAUUUUAAAAAAGAUCUCCGACAAACCAUCAAACAAGCAAAGCGUCAAUAAAGGGCUAAGAUUGAAUCGUAAAACACCUGCUCCGAAGCUCGUUUUAUGUGGCAGGUCUUUCAAACUAUUACAAACUACAAAGGGAAGCACAGCCGCGAGCUGCCCAGUGACACGAGCCUACCAGACGCGCUAAAUAACUUCUAUUCUCGCUUCUAAGCAAACAACACUGAGGUAUGCAUAAGGCAUGCAAAAGAGCAUCAGAAGUUCUGGACAACUGUGUGAUCACACUCUUCAUAGCCAACGUGAGUAAGACCUUUAAACAGGUCAACAUUCACAAGGCUGCGGGGCCAGACGGAUUAACAGUCGUGUGCUCCUGGCAUGUGCUGACCAACUGGCAGGUGUUUCAAGCAGACCACCAUAGUCCCUAUGCCCAAGAACACUAAGGCAACCGGCCUAAAUGAAUACAGACCCGUAACACUCACGUUCCUAGCCAUGAAGGGCUUUGAAAGGCUGGUCAUGGCUCACAACACCAUUAUCUCAGAAACCCCAGACCUACUCCAAUUUGCAGACUGCCCAAACAGAUUCACAGAUGAUGCAAUCUCUAUUGCACGCCACACUGCCCUUUCCCACCUGGACAAAAGGAACACCUACAUGAGAAUGCUAUUCGUUGACUACAGCUCAGCGUUCAUCACCAUAGUACCCUCAAAGCUCAUCAAUAAGCUAAGGAUCCUGGGACUGAACACCUCCCUCUGCAACUGGAUCCUGUACUUCCUGACGGGCCGCACCCAGGUGGUGAGGGUAGGUUGCAACACAUCUGCAACACUGAUCCUCAACACUGGAGGCCCUCAGGGGUGCGUGCUCAGUCCCCUCCUGUACUCCCUGUUCACCCAAGACUGUGUGGCCCGGCACGACUCCAACACCAUCAUUAAGUUUGAAGACGACACAACAGUGCUAGGCUUGAUCACCGACAACGACUAGACAGCCUAUAGAGAGGAGGUCAGAGACCUGGCUGGGUGGUGCCAGAAUAACAACCUAUCCCUCAACAUAACCAAGACUAAGGAGAUGAUUGUGGAUUACAGGAAAAGGAGGACAGAGCACGCCCCCAUUCUCAUCGACGGGGCUGUAGUGGAGCAGGUUGAGAGCAUCACCAACAAAUUAGAAUGGUCCAAACACACCAAGACAGUCAUGAAGAGGGCACGACAAAGUCUAUUCCCCCUCAAGAAACUAAAAAGAUUUGGCAUGGGUCCUCAGAUCCUCAAAAUGUUCUACAGCUGCAACAUCGAGAGCAUCCUGACUGGUUGCAUCACUGUUCGGCCUCAAAGGGUAGUGCGUAUGGCCCAGUACAUCACUGGGGCAAAGCUGGCUGCCAUCCAGGACCUCUACACCAGGCGGUGUCAGAGGAAGGCCCUAAAAAUUGCCAAAGACCCCAGCCACCCCAGUCAUAGACUGUUCACAUGGCAAGCGGUACUGGAGCACCAAGUCUCGGACCAAAAGGCUUCUCAACAGUUUUUACCCCCAAGCCAUAAGACUCCUGAAGAGUUAAUCAAAUGGCUACCCAGACUAUUUACAUGAUGUUCCCCCCCAACCCCCCCAACCCCUCUUUUACUCUGCUGCUACUCUCUGUUUAUCAUAUAUGCAUAGUCACUAGCUCUACAUUCAUGUACAUACUACCUCAAUUAGCUCGACUAACCGGUGAACCCGCACAUUGGCAACCCGGACUAUCUGCAUUGUGUUACACCACCCACCAACCCCUCUUUUACGCCACUGCUACUCUCUGUUUAUCAUAUAUGCAUAGUCACUUUAAGCAUACCUACAUGUACAUACUACCUCAAUUAGACCCAACUAACCGGUGCCUGUGUAUAGCCUCACUACUGUUGUAGCCUCGCUACUGUUGUAGCCUCGCUACUGUACAUAGCCUCGCUACUGUUAUUUUUCACCUCAUUUUUUACUGUUGUUUUUAUUUCUUAUCUAUUGUUCACCUAAUACCUUUAUUUUACUUAAAAAUUUCACUGUUGGUUAUAGCUUGUAAAUAAGCAUUUCACUCUAUGUUCUACACCCGUUGUAUUUGGCGCACGUGACAAAUAAACUUUGAUUUGAAUUGAUAAUCCACAACAGUAUUUGUAAUAGACAGUCUACAGAGCAUAACAUUCUACGCUGAGCUAUUCUUCUCACAUCCCUUCUGCUAUAGAAAGGACAGUGUGUCUCUGGGUAUUUAGCAGUCAGCAUGUCAAACCUCUCAAGCUUCAAACUGAUCUCAUCCCAAAUUGAGGCAAAAAUUGCCAUUUAACAUAUUAAUGGCGGCUGAGGACAAACCUGGUGCAAUCUACUGGCGGUCACCUCUGCUAAGAAGAGUAGAUCCUCCUGGAUCUUCAUAGGAAUACUUCUUCAAGGCAUCUUUGCUGAGAGGGCGUUACCAUCACACUGAUGCACAAUGAUGUCAUCAAGCAGUAGCCUGAGGACUUCUUGGAUCUCGAGAGGGCUUACAGCAACUUCGCCACAGACUUCAUCACCCAGUCUGCCAGGAAGAAACAACACUUCUUCCUCUACUACCCCUCCCAUCACACCCACUACCCCCAUUAUGCAGGCCUAGCAGCGGCAGGGUGGUCUCAUAGGGGUCCUUUUGGUGAUGCUCUACUGGAGUUUGACUCUACAUUAGGGAACCUGCUGUCAGCUCUGGAACAGACUGGAGUCCUCACCAACACUCAUACUGUUCACUGCUGAUAACGGGAGUCACCUAUGAGACAUUAUUCACACUCAAGAGUUUAGCUCAAUGCCGUUUGGGCUGAAGAAGAGAAGAUGAGUACAUUGCAUAAUGUGUUCUUAAACCAGGCAUAGUCAUUGUGUGUCUCUGUUCGACUUAAUUGGUGGCUCGUGGCAAUAAUUUUUGUUGUUGUUUUCCUCAAUCAGCUGAAUGCGCCGCUUAGUUUAUAGAACUGUGGUUAUGUGAGUAACCUUAUUAGCGGCUUGGACAAACAGAGCGGUAAAAGCAGUUUCUAGCGCUUCUUGAAAUAGUUUUCUUCCUACAAAUUUGGUUAUAGAUUUUGAAUGGUUGGAGCUAUUACCUGUUUCCACCUACAACACAAGCUGUGUAGGACUCAUUAGAAGGGAGAGAGUGAUGAAUCUGAACAGAAUAACUACAAACGAUCAUACUUACAAGAUUGUUUGAUGAUUAUCUGUGAUGUUUUCCUAAACUUUCCAAUAUCUUCCUGAGGGAGGACAUGAUGUUCUACCCUACAGACCCCAGUGAGAAGUAUAGCCUGUUCGCUCUCAGGCUGGGCAAAUACAGAGCCCACUUCUACACGUGGCCACAGUGAGACCACCCCAGACCAGGACUGUCACAUCUCCUUCCUGAAGCCCCAUGAUCCUCCCUUGCUGUUUGACCUGGUCUGACCCCAGUGAGAACUACCCCCUGUCCCUCCUGGGACACCCUGACUUGCAGGCCCUGCUGCAGAGGAUAGGGAUGGUCAAGGACCAGUUCGAAGCCUCCACAGAGCUUGUGGAGAGCCAGAUCGGGAAAAUCUAGAGCCCUGCCGCUCCCUGCACUGCAUCCCCAAACCUUUCUGCUGACAGUGUGGCUGAUGCACCCUCAAACCUACAGCGCUACUUGUACUAUACCUUUUGUAAGACUAGUUCUAGUACCUCUACUACUGUGGAUGAAGUAGCCCCAAAAUGAAUCUCUGAAAUUGUGGACAGACUGUUCUUUAAGCCAUUUGAGAAACUACUGUAUGUGGGAAGGAGCACUUAGAAAUGGUACAUCCAGUUCCACAAGUGUCUUAUCUACACAUUCUAAUUCUAUGGAUGAUGGCACCAUCAUGUGGACAAACCCUGCAAUUCAGUGACAACAACACCUAAAGACUACUGUAUUGGCUAGUUUCAAGAAAUACAGACCAAAAAUACAUUGUGUGUAUUCUUUUUAAAUACAGGAUUGUAUUAAUACACUUUUAUAGUGAGGGCGAAUGUAACCUCUUACACCCAGAGAGGAGUGGUAGCCAAAUUUAAACCUCUCUCUACUAACUAGACCCACAUGAAAAAUACUACAGUUUACUAUAGAAUACUGCAGUACUUACUAUAUAAUUCUAUAGUAAACGAUAGUAUACUGUAGGAUACUAUACUACACACUAUAGUAUCUCUCAAUCUUGUGUAGUACUUACUAUAGAAUGUUGUAGAAUAUUAUAGUAAAUACUGCAGUAUUUACAUUCCCCUCCCCCAUAAGUGAGAAACCUACAUGCCAAGUAAAGACCAUAUAUUGUGAUCCCUACAGGUUAUAUAAGAGAGCACAACCUCCACUUAUAUCUCAAAGAUGAUAAAACAAAAACACUAUUAUAAGUACUACACUAAUGUCUGCAAAAACACUACAGUAAAUACUAUAGUAUUGUACAAUUCACAAAAACACUAUAGUAAACACUAUAGUAUAGUAGUCUGCAAAAACAGUACAGUAAAUAAUGCAGUAAAGUACAGUCCGCAAAAACACUACAUGAAUUACUAUAGUAUAUACUACAGUUAUUUUACUACAGUAUUUAAUACUGAAGUUAACUGUCAAUACUACAGUAUACUAAAGGAAAUACUACAGUAUUCACUAAAGUCCACAAAACACUGCAGUGAAUACUACAGUAAAGUCUGUGAAAACACUACAGUGAAUACUAGUAUUAAUGCUAUUUAACUAUACUAUAUUACUUUUUCAUGAGGAACAACUUCAUGUAAACAAAUUGUACAGUCAGAGAGUGAAUGGAAAAUCUAAGGAAAUUGAUUUUUCAGAAUUCCGCAGCAGCUCGUAAGGUGUGCUGCAGUAUGAAGCUAAUUUUACAGGAAGAACCACUGUAUGUUAUUGUGUGUUUGUAUGCAUGUGUCUGUGCCUCUGUCUGUGUUGCUUCACAGUCCCCACGGUUCCAUAAGGUGUAUUUCUAUCUGUUUUAUAAAUCAAAUUUUACUGCUUGCAUGAGUUACUUGAUGUGGAAUAGAGUUCCAUGUAGUUAUGGCUCUAUGUAGUACUGUGCGCCUCCCUUAGUCUGUUCUGGACUUGGGGACGGUGAAGAGACCUCUGGUGGCAUGUCUUGUGGGGUAUGCAUGGGUGUCCGGGCUGUGUGCCAGUAGUUCAAACAGACAGCUCGGUGCUAGGGUCAGUCUGUUAUAUCUGGAGUAUUUCUCCUGUCUUAUCCGGUGUCCUGUGUGAAUUUAAGUGUGCUCUCUCUAAUUCUCUCUUUUUAUUUUUCUCUCGCUCUCUCUUUCUUUCUCUCGGAGGACCUGAGCCCUAAGACCAUGCCUCAAGACUACCUGGCCUGAUGACUCCUUGCUGUCCCCAGUCCAUCUGUUCGUGCUGCUGCUCCUGUUUCAACUGUUCUGCCUGCAGCUAUGGAACCCUGACCCGUUCACCUGAAGUGCUACCUUGUCCCAGGCCUGCUGUUUUCAACUCUCCAGAGACAGCAAGAGCGGUAGAGAUACUCUGAAUGAUCGGCUAUGAAAAGCCAACUGACAUUUACUCCUUGAGAUGCUGACCUAUCGCACCCUCUACAAUCACUGUGAUUAUUAUUAUUUGACCCUGCUGGUCAUUUAUGAACAUUUGGACAUCUUGGCCAUGUUCUGUUAUAAUCUCCACCCGGCACAGCCAGUAGAGGGCUGGCCACCCCUCAUAGACUGGAUCCCCUCUAGGUUUCUUCCUAUGUUCCAGCCACACCUCCACCUUUGGCAUUCCUGUCUUUUCUGUAGAUAUUAUAAACAUGGAUUGCUACCAAUGUAUCAUCAAAGGUACUAAGUGAGUUUCAGAGAUUGUCAGAAUAUGAAUGUCAUCUGUUACUAGCAAAUUAUUGAUUUCAUGAACCUUGUUUCUUAAGCUACAUAUGCUAAUGUGGGCUAUUUUUAACACUUUUCUGGGAUGCUUGUAUGUUUUUAUUGCUUUACUGGGAAGCUUAGCAGAGGUAGACAUGCUCAGGUUGUUUAUGUUAGUGCAGGAUGAGCUGCAAUGGACUUCUUUCUUGGGCACACCACCUCAGUGCUAACAGCAUAACUCUGGUUCAUAGUCAUAUGAUUACUGCACACAAUAGCUGUGGGAUCAGCAGAGGCAUUCAGGGCAGUAAGAGGGACAUAAAUUAGGUUACUUACAUUGUGUCUUCCAACACACCUGGGAUAAUGUACAUUUGCUGAAGUAUUAUGACAACUCAGCGACACAAUGGUAGGGAUUAAAUGAGCUGGGAUUGGGUCAUUGAUAAGUCAUUGUCUCAACGCAGCCUUAUAAUGUUGUGAAUGGAUCCAGGAACCCAAAUAACUGUCAAUAAAUGUUACACC